rnacentral:lncRNA from 1 species
UGAUGGUUUUAAAAAUGGAAGUUUCUCUGCACAAGCUCUUUCUCUUUUCCUGCUGCCAUCUGUGUAAGAUGUGACUUGUUCCUCCUUGCCUUCCACCAUGAUUGUGAGGCCUCCCCAGCCACAUGGAACGGAGACGGGUUUGGCUCUGUGAUUCAUCAGAAAUAAGAAAAACAAACACUGUAAAUGGAGAACUUGAAAAACAGGUGGGCACCAUCUCCCCACCCAAGAGAAUGGAUUUAAGAGGAAAUUUGUUUAUGGGAUGAAGUUUUAAAAGGUGACCUGGAAAAUUUAGCAAAGAUGUAAAUAAACAACUCUUCCUUGGAUUGCAUUAGGCUUCAGAAUAAAUAUAUUAACCAGCUUCAGUCAAAGUCUGCCUAGAAUCUGACCCUGACAAGACCCAGUGACUAGUGCUGCUCCCAACCUUCCCCACAAACAGCAGGCAAUUUUCUCUGUGGCAAAGCUACCUCGAAACAGGCAUCCAGGCUUCCCUCCCACGAAGUGAAGAUGAGAAAACUGAGUCUCAGAAUGGACAAGCUCACAGAUGGCAAGUGGCAGAGCAGACUUCACACAUAGCUUCUGCCACGUCCCAGGUCCCAGAGCGUGCCUGCUCAGAUCCCAGAAAACUUGCAGGAAUAGGAAGAGGUCACACAGUGGUAAGGGGCAAGGGAGAAUAGGAACGGCGGGUUACUUACUGCGGUCAAGACCCUGAAGUCAUCUCGGCUCAUGUAACGCAACUUAGCCACAUUCACCUUCCCCAUGGCGGCCCCAGUCCGAGCCCAGAUGCCUCUCCCACGACAGCCGCAAAGCGACUUGCUGCCUCAAUGACACGUUCCGCCUUAGAGAGCAAAGUGGUUACUUAACGGGAGGAGCAAAUUUUUCCCGCAAACAACGUCUACUCUAGGCAAAGUGACUUCCAACAAGACACGGGUAAAAGAACCUGAGCUAGAGUCCAGACAACCAAAUCUGUUAAACGUAGAAUAUUGUGAUGGGUGCUGUGCAAGAAGAAGGAAGGAAGAAGGAAGCUGAGUGUGCAGCAAAGACACCUGCAGGGACACAUAGAACCAGGCAUUUGCUGAAGGACACCUGGAUUGCACAACCAGCGGCUAACUUGCAUGAAGAAAACAUUCUAGGUGGUUUUGCUUAAUGUUGGUUUCUCCAACUGUGCUACAAGCUCCAUGAGGUCAAGGACCAAGUUAAUCGUGUCUUCCAUGGUAUGUCCCUGUCCUGCCACUUUAGGCAUUUUAAAUAUUUGCUGAAUAUUGUUUGAAUAAAUAAUUUGUGGAGAAUUGGAAGAGAUUUGUGGGAUAAAUAUUUUUAUAUGGAUGCGGUUGAACCUGCAUAUGCUUUUCUAUUUUAACAAUAUUGUCAUUGGGACUGUAGAAUUUGACUCAUAAACAUCACUUUGCUUUUCUUGGAAUUCUAAUUCAUAUUUACAAUUUCAAAUGUCACCUCUCUUUUAAGUUCUACAUCAACAUAUUUGCCUAAUCCUUGGAUGUCCUGCCACUUGAACUUGAAAUGUCUAAAAUCUAAUUUGUCAUUUUUUUAAACUGACUCUAAUAAUAAUGUCACGUGUUUCCUAUGUUCUAGGUCAGAAAAUUGUACACAACUUAAAUUUUUCUUUUUGCUUCCUAUGUCUGUUCAUAACUAUAUCUAAUUAGCCAUAAAGUUGUGUUUUUCUGUUCCUUUUUAUAUUUUUUGCAUAUUCAUUUCUUUUUUAUCCCCGUCCUGGAAGCCCUGACUACCUGACAACCACUACAUCCUGGUUCCCUUGGCUUUCCUUUCUCUCCUUUCCAG